CCCAAUCGGGGGACUCCUGAGGAAGCAUCUCCUGAGGGGGCGUCUCCUGAGGAGGCGUCCGCUGCAAGGGUGAGUCCUCAUAGUCCACCAUAGGAGCCCCGGAAAGUGUGGGCCCCCGUGGUGAAAAUUCACCCUGUGGUGCCGUCUCAUCUGCCGUCUCAGGCUGGAGAGGGGACCAGUCGGGGGUCGCGGAAGAGUAACGAGGGGACAUCACCGAAGAAAGCCCCCGCUCCUGUUCUUCAUCCCGAAAGUCGAUCAGGAGAGGCGAGGAGGCCGUGGGUCCCCCUGGUGAUCCCAGAGGAAGCCUCCUGCGAGAUGCAGGAAUAAGCUGGGUGGGCGGAGCCUCGCCGAGGGUGUCCUGGGCAGGCCCGCUGUCCGUGGCCCGGGGCUGUGUCACCCUCUGCUCCUUGGGUGGUUCCGGGCGACGAGGAAGGAAGAUCGGGGCAACCCGUGCUGGAGGGAUUGCAUCCCGAUCCACCUCAGGAGACCAAUCUGGAGCCACGGCGUCGGUGCUGGUAGCCACCGAGACCCGGGCGACGACCCGAGCCGGAGGGCUGCUAGCCCGUACCACCCCAGGAGCCCCGUCAGGGCCCGUAGGGUCAGUAUGGGUGCCCACCGAUACCCGGGUGGCGGUCUGGACCGGCAAGGACUGGGCCGGGCGUACCACCUCCGCGUUGACAGGGGGGUCGGCGAAGGCCGCGACGAUCAGAGCCUCGGCCUUCCCGAGGGUGUCCCCCAUCAGUCUGCGUCCCAGAUGUUUCUUGGCCCAUGUAGAGGCCAGCUGAAAAGCGGGUCUCCAAACCUCGUCAAUAAAACUGGUUAUCUUGUCCAA